rnacentral:lncRNA from 1 species
CAAAGAACAGCAAGUUUCCUACCUGGCUUCUCUGCCUUCCUCCUUCCUUCCCUCCCUUCCUCCCUCCUUCCUUCCUUUCUUCCUUUCUUCCUUCCGUUCUCCCUUUCUUCCCAAUAUGCCCCACUUCAAUGGAUGAGUUUUCCAGCUCCCUCGGCUGCUUUCUGCAUUGCACAUGACAAGUAUCCACUAAAUAUUCAUUCAUUAGAAACAGCCAGACGAUGCUGAGCCUCUGUAGCUCUCUAGCAUCUACCAUAGCACAGAUCUCAGGAAGACCCACAAGAUACAUUUGUCAACAAGUCGAUGGCCUCCUAUGUGGCCCUGUGCUGUGUGCUGAGGCUACAGGAAGGAACAAAGCCUCCUAUCUGGGGGCCCACUUCUGCAGUUAAGUUCAUCUGGUGUCCUUUGUAAUACUGCAAAGAGAACUUCUUACGCUGUAGCUGAAUGAGAGAAAUAUCCCAUUCCAAACCUCUGAUGGAAACUGGCCAAGUCAGCGUGUGAGAGGAAGAAGGAAGGUUCAAGCGAUUCUCCUGCCUCAGCCUCCUGAGUAGCUGGGAUCACAGACGCCUGCCAUCAUGCCUGGCUAAUUUUUGUAUUUUUAGUAGAGAUGGGGUUUCGCCAUGUUGGUCAGGCUGGUCUCGAACUCCUGACCUCAAGUGAUCCACCUGCCUCGGCCUCCCAAAGUGCUGGAAUUACAGGCAUGAACCACUGCACCUGGCCUCUAUUACCUUUAAAAGUGCUCCUUGAAGAGAAAAUCCACUCUGCCGUUUCAAGCUUGACUUCCCUCCCCAGUCUUAGAGACUGAUCACUGGGGCAGAGUGACAUUUUCCCACAAUGCUGGCUCAUUAUUUUCCUCCUGGAAUUGCAAAUCCAAGGGACAAGUGGUACAGCCUGCACCCAUCCAGAAGGGGAGGGAAUCCCACCAGAGGUGCCCUGAAACAAAGAAAACAAGUAACUUCAAAACCACAUCCUAAAAUCUGGACCUGUGACAGGACAGAUGGAACUCUGGAUUGUUUGAUUCUAUCAGCAGAACAGAGGAAGGAAAUGUUUUAAAACGAGAUUAUGUUAUUUUCCCCAGUUAUUAUGAAGCCUUCCUGAAAUGAACUUUAAAUAUCGGCCACCACUUUCAUGAGGCUGAAUGGGAUUCAGCAAUUAGGAGCGUUGCAGGGAAGUGUGGCAGGGCAGAGGUGGGACAAAUUGCAGAUCCCUGUGGGGUCCCUUGGUUAGGUGACAAUUAGUCUAUAAAACACAGCUGUGUGUGUUAGGGAGGGAGUGGUGUCUUUAAAAAGCUCUGUGCCCAAUAGGAACAUUAAUUAAAGGGUCUUUUUUCAAAGGACAUUAAUAAUAAUGAAUAAAAAGCCU